rnacentral:rRNA from 1 species
CCCUUAGAUGUUCUGGGCCGCACGCGCGCUACACUGAUGCAUUCAACGAGUCUAAAACCUGGUCUGAUAGGGCUGGGUAAUCUUUUGAAAGUGCAUCGUGAUUGGGAUAGAUGAUUGCAAUUCUUCAUCUUCAACGAGGAAUGCCUAGUAAACGCAAGUCAUCAGCUUGCAUUGAUUACGUCCCUGCCCUUUGUACACACCGCCCGUCGCUCCUACCGAUUGAAUGAUCCGAUGAAUACCAUGGAUUGAGAGUACGAAUGGGUUCGCUCAUUUCUGCUGCUCGAGAAGUGGAGUAAAUCUUAUCAUUUAGAGGAAGGAGAGGUCGUAACA